CAUGUGGUUGGUGAGAAUUGAACUCAGGACCUCUGGAAGUGCUCUUAACCACUGAGCCAUUUCUCCAGCCUAUGGAUAAGGUUUUUUAAGUUCUAAGAAGGGAGCAUAGGUCCCUUCAGUCUAGCUUACUGUGCUUCAGUUCAGACAGAUCUUGGGGAUGCAGCUUUGCCCUCUCACGAGGUAGGCUCAGCCUUGAUUCUCAGUAAGUGUGCAGGGACACCAAGCUCCUUUUCACCUCCCUUCCUACUCUGGUUCUCAUUAGUGCUUGCUUUUUCACAGUCAGUUGAGUCACUCCCCUGGAGGCUGUUUGGGACUGCCAGAUGACUGUUCAAAAUGUCAUUUUUUUCCUGGACAAGAUGGACUCAAGUGACAGAGGCAUGGGGUGUGAGAGUGUCAAAAAAGCCAACACCACCAUGUUAACAAACUAGAUUAUUUCUGUCAAGAAUCGCAGUAUCCUUGCCUAACAGUUGUGUGUAUUCUCUGAAUCCAGACUCUGGUUAAAGAACCCAAUCUGAAGGAACAUCCUGAUACAUAGCCAUAUGCUGUUACUGACCUAUGGUUACACCCUGUUUCAUGACCUGCUGUUAGUCUGACCCCCUGAGCUUGGCCAGUGGCACCAACUGGACAUCUUUAGACAUCAGACUGUUUUUGUCUAUGCUGCCAGCAGGCUCAGCCACCAUGAAGUUCCAGAAAGCAAAGAUCACACAAUAAGAGAGCCAAGCAUGAUGGUCAACAGCUUAACAGAGCUCCAGGAUGAAGCAUCGCACUGGGAAAACAUUCUGAGGUAAGAGAACACAAGAGCCAUGAGAACAGCUGCUGUGGGUCACAGUGGGAAGGCCAAGUAGGAACCAAGAACAACACCAAAAGCAAGCCUCGGGGUAUUCUCACAGUGCACAAACAGCACCAGAAUACACCCUGAAGCUGACAGGAACCUGAGUCUUGUCUCAUCUCAAUACUUUGGGAUAACUAAUUUUGCAUAAAAAUAAACAAAAAUAGUGGCAAGGUCACAUCCAGAAGUAGAUCAAGGAGCAGGAUAGCACAUCAGUGGAAAGAACCCAGGAAACUGCAGGUCACGAUUGUAAACAGCACAAGUAUCUAAGAUUAGAAAUGGGUUGUUACGAAGGCACAGCAGGUAAAACCGAGUGGCCUGUGGUGGUUCCAUGUGUGCUACGUCUACAACAGAAUCAAGAGCGAUUCUAUUUUGAGGAACAGAAAACAUCUCCAAAGCAUUGAAGGCACAAGCAUAGUAUCUGAAAGUAAAAAAGAAGAUUUGAAAGUAAAAUAGAAAACCUGAGUCUUCUUUUAAAGAUUAAAAGAUGCAUUGAAAUGUGCACUUUGGUCUUUAUGUGGGUCCUGAACAACAGGACUGAGGCUCUCCCAAAAGCUGUUGCCUGUACGUGGGAUAUGUUCUACUAGCAGGGCUGCCUUGUCCGGCCUCAAUGAGAGAGGAAGCACCUUGCCUCAGAGACUUUAAGUGUGGGGGAGGGGGGAGGCUACUCAGGGGGGACCCCACCUGCUCAGAUGAGAAAGGGAAGAGGGGCAAGGAUUGUGGGAGGGGUUGACCAGGAGGGGGGCAGUAAGCAGCAGGAUGUAAAGUGAAUAAAUAAAAUUUUUUUAAAAAGAUAACAUUGAAGAAAGGUAAAAGACAGGAAUAUGUAAAACCAAGGCAAGCAAAAGAAAUGUUAAACAUUUCUCAAAUACAUUUUACUGAAAUUGUAAGAGAAAUAUUUUAAACGAAUACUACUAACCUUACCCUCCAAGGUCUAGUCUAGUAAAAUCACUGAAGAAAUAGAAGCAAAACUUGUGGCCAUUUACUUGAAAGAAACACUUGAUAGCCAGGGAGGUAUAAGAGCAUAUGAUUUUUAAACGAUGCUUUCUACCACAUGAAACACAGUGGUAUAGUUACGAUUUCCAAAGAAAGUCAGACAAGGAUUUUCUACCUAGAAAAAUUCAGUUUCAAGAGCAUAAAGUUGCUACUGAUUAAAAGGAUGCUCUUCCAAUGAGCCCCACUUUAAGGAUAAAGUACAGAACACACAUACUAAAUACCAUAACAACACCUACAUAAGAAAUGAUUGAACCAGGCCUGGCAGAGCAUAUCUGUAAGGAGGCUGAGAGGAGGGGGGUCACAAGUUUGAAAGCCAGCCACAGCUCGCUCUCUCUCUCUCUCUCUCUCUCUCUCUCUCUCUCUCUCUCUCUCUCACACACACACACACACACACACACACCCCUGAUGGUUAAUGUAUAAACUUCCCACCACUACAAGGAAAUAACCAAGGCACUAAGCUUAUGAAAGGUUUAUUUUGGCUCAGGGUUCCGGAAGUUCUACUCCACCAUUUGGAAAUCUCAUUAGGAUUCUGACAGGGGCUAUACAUCUUCUUAAAAGUAUGUAAGAGAGCAAGCAAACUUCACCCCAAAGCCAAGCAGAGACAUAGGACUCCAUAGUUCCCGUCAGGGCACACCUCCACUAGGUUCUACCCUUACCCCAAAGCAUCAUCCUGAGUACCAGUGUCUGGGGAGGAUACUCAUAUAAAUCAUAGACCUUGAAAAUGAAAUAUUUAAUUAGUUAUAUAAGUCAGAACUUGAUGAAGGAGAAACUGUGCUAUAUGCCCUCACAAAAAUGAAAAUGCUGUACUGAUUUUACAAUGGAUAUACAAAUUUUUAAUGUUUUCAGCAUCAUAUUGGUGUUUUCUAUCUGGUAUAUAAUACAUGCAAUUGAGCAAGUGUGUUCAUGUGGGAUAUUUGGGCUUUGUCCAUAUUUAUUAUCUCUAUCUACCAAAGACACUUACAGAAAUGAUCAGCUAAGGGGGAGUCCCUAGCACCCACACUUUGAAGUCCUCAUUAAAUGGCAGCACAGCUUAUGGCCAUAAUGCUGACUCGAGGUGUGGAACAAGAAGUGACAGAUAGAUAGAUGAUCCUUCAAGGUCUGGUUUCAGAAAGAAGCUACUGUAUGUGACGAGGCUUUGUCAAGGGUGCCAAGACACCAAACAGAAGUGGGACAGUUUGAGCUCCUCCACAAUAACUACAAUGAAUUAAAACUUGCUCUUGAGCUUCAACCCAGGAUUUCAACAUGAGAUUUAAGCCUAGAUUGGUCACCUUGUCAUACCGAGAGAGAAUCUUGUCAUUUGGUAAGGAAAGGGAAAAAAUUCAGUUCAUCCUACCCUUGUGUGUACUAGAGACCAAUGGCUGAUGAAGGAGAGCAACUACUGAUGGACAAGGGAGUGAGAGUCUUAGCAAGACUCCACAUGAAUCUGUAACAGCUGACAUCACUCUGCCAAUCCGCCCGAGUCCGUGGGAUUGUCGAGAGGCCGCCAGAGCAGCACCAGAGGGUUUUGGGUGUAUUUUUUUCUAUGAAGUCACAACAAGUGGAGCUCAGCAAUUCUGUAAAGCAAACCAAUACAUGUGUGUUGUUAGCAAAGAAUCCACCAUGAGACCUUUCACGUGUUUCCUUUAGCAAAACAUCCUUUCACCUGUGUCUACUCCAGAAAAACACUUUUGAUAUGACUUUCCAAAAAAACCCAGAAGUUUCCACUUCAGUAUCUUUUUUUCUAAGUUUAGAUUUUAAAAACAAUGACAAAGGCCAAAAUUUAGUUAUUUGGCAUUUUGCUAUAUUUCCCUAUUAUCUGCACUCUCUUGUUGUUUUUUGUUUUUGUUUGUUUGUUUGCUUGCUUUGGAGAUGUCUCACUAAGUAGCUUUGUCUGAUCUGGAACAUUCUGUGUAGACCAGGCUGGCCUCAAACUCACAGAGAUCCAUUUGCAUUUUCCUCUCCAGUGCUGGGAUCAAAGGCAUUUGACACCUUACUCAGACCACACAACAUCUAUAAUUCAAGGGCAUAUUGUAUGUGGUGGAAUCCCUCAGCAUUGUGUGUGCCCCACAUGGUUCUCCUAAUCUGUGUGCUGUGAGAGACAUCCCAGUAGUUUGACACUGACUGUGAUGGUAUUUAGACUAACCUGUAUUAAUCAUGGAGUGUUUGGUUGAUUUGUCAAAACAGUCACUGGAAAAAGUCUUGAGACUGAUGAGAGCUGAAACUGUACCUGUCUGGAUCCCACUGUAAGCAGCACAAAACUGACAAAAUAUCCUCCCAGUACUCAGACAGCGAUGCUCAUUCAGCAGAGGAAGACAGAUCACCCUAGAGUGAGCAGCUGACACAUGCCUUAACUGUCCUCCUUUGUUUUCUUGUUGAUGCAAAUGUAGUAACUGCCGGCUUGCUUGCCAGAUUAUACUCAUUAAUCAGUUGUAAAUGUGGGAUGGCUGCAGGUACAAGAACUUUUGGGAAAAUUCAACAAAAACCCUGAGAAAUUAUGUGAAAUUUGCCAUAAAGUGUUAUAAAUAAAAUGUAUCACUAAAUUAA